UACGAAGGGGGCUAGCGUUGCUCGGAAUUACUGGGCGUAAAGCGCACGUAGGCGGCUUGUUAAGUCAGGGGUGAAAUCCUGGAGCUCAACUCCAGAACUGCCUUUGAUACUGGCGAGCUUGAGUUCGGGAGAGGUGAGUGGAACUGCGAGUGUAGAGGUGAAAUUCGUAGAUAUUCGCAAGAACACCAGUGGCGAAGGCGGCUCACUGGUCCGAUACUGACGCUGAGGUGCGAAAGCGUGGGGAGCAAACAGG
rnacentral:rRNA from 1 species